rnacentral:rRNA from 1 species
GAUGAACGCUGGCGGCGUGCUUAACACAUGCAAGUCGAACGGAAAGGCCCAAGCUUGCUUGGGUACUCGAGUGGCGAACGGGUGAGUAACACGUGGGUGAUCUGCCCUGCACUUCGGGAUAAGCCUGGGAAACUGGGUCUAAUACCGGAUAGGACGAUGGUUUGGAUGCCAUUGUGGAAAGUUUUUUCGGUGUGGGAUGAGCUCGCGGCCUAUCAGCUUGUUGGUGGGGUAAUGGCCUACCAAGGCGUCGACGGGUAGCCGGCCUGAGAGGGUGUAGGGCCACAUUGGGACUGAGAUACGGGCCAGACUCCUACGGGAGGCAGCAGUGGGGAAUAUUGCACAAUGGGCGCAAGCCUGAUGCAGCGACGCCGCGUGGGGGAUGACGGCCUUCGGGUUGUAAACUCCUUUCGCUAGGGACGAAGCGUUUUUGUGACGGUACCUGGAGAAGAAGCACCGGCUAACUACGUG